rnacentral:rRNA from 1 species
CCUACGGGUGGCUGCAGUAGGGAAUAUUGCACAAUGGGGGAAACCCUGAUGCAGCAACGCCGCGUGGAGGAUGAAGGUUUUCGGUUUGUAAACUCCUUUCGUUAGAGAAGAAAAUGAACGUAACUAACGUAUAAGCACCGGCUAACCUCGUUGCCGCCGCCGCGGUAAUACGGUGGGUGCAAGCGUUAAUCGGAAUCACUGGGCGUAAAGGGAACGGUGCCGGGCAAGCAAGUCAGAGGUGAAAGCCUAUGGCUUAACCAUAGAACUGCAUUUGGAACUGUUAGUCUUGAGUAUGGGAGGGGUAGGCGGAAUUCUUGGUGUAGGGGUAAAAUCCGUAGAGAUCAAGAGGAAUACUCAUGGCGAAGGCGACCUGCUAGAACAUGACUGACGUUGAGGCGCGAAAGCGUGGGGAGCAAACAGGAUUAGAUACCCCAGUAGUC